rnacentral:rRNA from 1 species
GACGAACGCUGGAGGCGUGCUUAACACAUGCAAGUCGAACGAUGAAAUGGAGCUUGCUCCAUGGAUUAGUGGCGAACGGGUGAGUAACACGUGAAUAACCUGCCCUUAAUUUUGGAAUAACCCAGGGAAACCUGGGCUAAUACCGGAUAAGUAAACCUGUGGCAUCACAUGGUUUUGGAAAGUUUUUCGAUUAAGGAUGGAUUCGCGGCCUAUCAGCUUGUUGGUGAGGUAAUGGCUCACCAAGGCGACGACGGGUAGCAGGCCUGAGAGGGUGAACGGCCACACUGGGACUGGGACACGGCCCAGACGCCUACGGGGGGCAGCAGUGGAGAAUAUUGCACAAUGGACGAAAGUCUGACGCAGCGACGCCUCGUGAGGGACGAAGGUCUUCGGAUUGUAAACCUCUUUCAGCAGGGACGAAGCGAAAGUGACGGUACCUGCAGAAGAAGCACCGGCUAACUAUGUGCCAGCAGCCGCCGUAA